rnacentral:rRNA from 1 species
UACGUAGGGGGCGAGCGUUGUCCGGAUUUAUUGGGCGUAAAGCGCGCGUAGGCGGCGCGACAAGUCGGCCGUGAAAGCGCCAGGCUUAACCUGGCGAGGUCGGGCGAGACUGUCGGGCUCGAGGCAGGCAGAGGGCGGUGGAAUUCCGGGUGUAGUGGUGGAAUGCGUAGAGAUCCGGAGGAACACCAGUGGCGAAGGCGGCCGCCUGGGCCUGUCCUGACGCUGAGGUGCGAAAGCGUGGGGAGCGAUCCGG